UACGUAGGGGGCAAGCGUUGUCCGGAAUCAUUGGGCGUAAAGCGCGUGUAGGCGGCCCAGUAAGUCCGCUCUGAAAGUCCAAGGCUCAACCUUGGGAUGCGGGUGGAUACUGCUGGGCUCGAGUCCGGAAGAGGCGAGUGGAAUUCCUGGUGUAGCGGUGAAAUGCGCAGAUAUCAGGAGGAACACCAAUGGCGAAGGCAGCUCGCUGGGACGUGACUGACGCUGAGACGCGAAAGCGUGGGGAGCAAACAGG
rnacentral:rRNA from 1 species